ACCCACCAAACCACAAAAUAUACAGAGGCUGUUCCGCUCUGUCGCCCUGUUGUAACAGAGGAGGGCUUAGCUGGAUGAAUUACACAGCUCCACUUCACCACCCAAGGUGAGGAAAACACUAAGAUCCCAGUGGCCAUUUCCCACCCUUUGCUGAAGAACAGACUGAAGAGAUGUGUGUAAUUACCUCAGCCUGCCUACCAUGGUAUUUUCAUUAAUACUGGGGUUUAAUGAGCUAGGAAAUCUGGGCCAUUGCGUGCUGGUGAAGAAAGCUCAUCCCUCCUUCAGCAAAAUAUGUUAGCUGAGAGCUUCCACUGAGAUGAGCAACUGCUUCCUUUGAACUCAUGAACCAUCAAGAUUAACUAAUUUGCCUAGACCACCUGCUUGGCUAACAGUCCCAGAGGCCUGUUGUUUUCUCUCUGUAGUGGGAAGCAGAAACCUAGUUGGUGCCUAUAUGUUUCUGUGCUGAGCAGGGGAGGUCGGCUAGACCACACCAUCAGCUCUGCACCGACCAAGCAAAGGGGCAUGGACAGCACAAAGCCCCACUACCAGCCUCUGUUUCCUGCCCUGGGACUUGCAGCCCUGCAGAAAUGCUCUCUCUGGAUCCACGAGGAUCUCAAGGUCCUCCAGGAAUUGCUAUAUAAAAUAGAUUUAUCCUGCUUCUCCCCUUGCUCUGCCUUGUGCUUAUGCAGAGCUGGCUGGGGUGGAUCUUCUCCCAGGACACAGUCUUUGCUUGUUGGAUGCUCUGUCUGUGGGGAGGAGUUGACCAUGGAGCUGUUAAGGAGUCCUUCAUACACACACACACAAACAAUUCCAUCCACAGUUAGCCCAAGAAAAGAGAAUUUGUUUCCAUCCAGCCUGGGGAUUCUUCUAUUGCACUGCCCUACAUGAGCACCACCCCACAGUGCACCUGGUGAGGUUUCUUCCAUGGAUCAUAGAUUUAGUUUUACCAUAGAAGCCUCCAAACAUUACAGUAUCUGCUGCUACAUCAGGA